UCUGCCUUUUCAUCGUGGCUGGUAGAGUCAGUGUCAGGAUAAGGCAGAGGGUAGGGUAACACUGAUUGCUCCAUGUGCAAACCUUGCGCAUUGGAAUGUGUCCCUGUUGCAUUUU
ensembl:snoRNA small nucleolar RNA SNORA17